UCGUGGCUAAUACUUUUUAUUUAAAUAAUCAGAUUUAAAGAUGAAACUGGUAGGAAAUUGUAGGAUCAAAAACUUAUGUUGACUAUUUUAAAGAUGAAACUGGUAGGAAAAUGAUUCAGAUGGUUUCACUAUUUUAAAAAUUUGGAAUGUUUAGAAGUAUCUACUAAUACUGAUUUAAACAAUAUCUAUUGAUGAUUAUAAAGCCUGGUAAGUAUAGGCCUCUUUUGCAUACCGAGCUAAGUAUUGCUAUUUCAUUAUGUAAACAAGAUAGUUUUUAAUUAUUGUCAUAUUCUUAAUAUUGACGGAGUCAAUCAGUUCUGUUCUGACUUUUGAGCUAGUUUCGGAAGUCCACUUUGCUUAGUCAUGAUAUUUCACCGUAGAUUCUUGUUCUAUAGAUGUCUUGUGAAAGAGAUUUAGAUUUGUUAUAACGAAAGAGUGGUACUAGAAGGCACAAUUUUUGAACUAACUUACUGCCAAUUAUCGAAAGGCUUUCAAGUUGAAAAAGACGAUGAAGUUUCUACUACCGUAGGUGGUGAAGAUGGUAAAUUGUUAUCUUUUAAAAGCAGAUGGUGCAGCUUUUCACACAGAUUCCUCUAUGGAUCCUCACCUUUCGAGGCCAUUGCUUCGAGCAUGUGAAGCUGUGGGAUACACACCAAGCCAACACCAAUUCAAGUUAUUAUUAUCCAAUACUAAUAAUAUUUUUUUUUAUAUUCUUGACUCAUUUUUCUAGCCAGAUGCUUCAACAUCCACCUUUUUGUUCUUUAAUUUGUUCUUUACUCUUGUUUAAUUCAUUCUUUCUCAUUUACAGUCGGUCUUUCACUCUUUUACUUUGUUGGCUAUUUCAGGGCAAUUAUAAGAAAUCUUGUCAAUAAGGCUGGAAUAAUGGUUGUGAGAAAAUGGCAUUUAAAAAUCUACCAAAAGGCUAUUGUUGUAUUGGAGAAGAAGUUGGGUGUGCUCCUGAAAGAGGGAGACAGCAACACAAAUGUGAAGCAAAACUGUAAAAGUAUCUACUGAACCAGUACAUGAACCAGGUCAUUCUCGUAUUGGCAUAUUUAUUUCCACAAUUGGAUUGGAAUCCAUUUUCACAAUUGCUACUAAGUGGAAACUGCAAUAUAUGUCUUUUUACCCUAGGGAAGACAUGGUAGAUCAAGCUAACUCAAUAUCUGGCUAUAUGAUGAUGCAAAUGGUGGUAGCUCAAGGUGGGCUUUGUGCUGAAACUGUUGUAUUCUGUUACUAUUAUUAUUUUGAUUUCUGCUCCAUGGAGACCAACUUUAUACUAUGUGUUUUGAUGUUGUAACUUGACUAUGUUAAAGAUUCGUUAUGGAAGUGACUUUUGGAAUCUCAAA